rnacentral:rRNA from 1 species
AUUGAACGCUGGCGGCAUGCCUAACACAUGCAAGUCGAACGGCAGCAUGUCUAGCUUGCUAGACUGAUGGCGAGUGGCGGACGGGUGAGUAACGCGUAGGAAUAUACCUUAAAGAGGGGGACAACUUGGGGAAACUCAAGCUAAUACCGCAUAAUUUCCUUGGAAAAAAGCUGGGGACCGCAAGGCCUGGCGCUUUAAGAAUAGCCUGCGUCCGAUUAGCUAGUUGGUAGGGUAAAGGCCUACCAAGGCGACGAUCGGUAGCUGGGCUGAGAGGAUGACCAGCAUCACUGGAGCUGAGAGACGGUCCAGACUCCUACGGGAGGCAGCAGUGGGGAAUAUUGGACAAUGGGGGCAACCCUGAUCCAGCGAUGCCGCGUGUGUGAAGAAGGCCUGAGGGUUGUAAAGCACUUUCAGUGGGGAGGAGAUAGAUUUGGUUAAGAGCUGAGUUUAGAGACGUUACCCACUGAAGAAGCACCGGCUAACUCCGUGCCAGCCGCCGCCGUAA